AUUGAACGCUGGCGGCAGGCCUAACACAUGCAAGUCGAGCGGAGCGGCGGACGGGUGGGUAAUGCCUAGGAAUCGGCCUGCUAGUGGGGGAUAGCGUCCGGAAACGGGCGCUAAUACCGCAUAUGAGCUGAUGAGCCUAGGUCGGAUUAGGUAGUUGGUGGGGUAAGGGCCUACCAAGGCGACGAUCCGUAACUGGUCUGAGAGGAUGAUUAGUCACACUGGAACUGAGACACGGUCCAGACUCCUACGGGAGGCAGCAGUGGGGAAUAUUGGACAAUGGGCGAAAGCCUGAUCCAGCCAUGCCGCGUGUGUGAAGAAGGUCUUCGGAUUGUAAAGCACUUUAAGUUGGGAGGCGUUACCAACAGAAUAAGCACCGGCUAACUCCGUGCCAGCAGCCGCGGUAAUUC
rnacentral:rRNA from 1 species